ensembl:lncRNA
UGUGAAGGUCCAUCUGUGCUUUCUGCUGCAAGCUACGAAACCAGAAGUUUCCUUGUCCUGGAAAGGGUGAUUUUAUCCAAGAUCUUCAAAGUGGAGCGAGCCAUGUGACUGUAGGGAUGCAGUCCAACUGACUCAUGAGGAGCUCAGCAGAGGGAGAUGAGGCAUGUGCAUGGCUGCAGCUCUGGGAGCAGCUCUGGGAGGCUGCACAGGAAUGCGGUCCCAUCUCACAGUGUGACAGCCCUAGACCAAGGCACAAAGGCAUCUGAAGGAUUUUAAGAGCAAUCCCUCCACAGGAAUGGCUUGAAUGUAUUCACAGUGCCACACACCUCCAGAAAGCAGGAUGUGCUUCUUAUUAGCAGCUGAGGACGGCUUGCUGAAAGGCUGCCAGCAUUUUCUUAUGAGAGAGAGCAUUACAUGCACUUAGUUCUUAGUAAGACAUCCCAGGACCAUAUCUUUAAUGGAGAAUUAGCCUUCCUGUAGUCUCUGCCUACCUCAGAACACCAAUGCUGCAAGCUGGGAACUGACAGCUGGAUCUGCAGGACACCAACUGCAUCUCUCUGCUCCUGAGACUUGGGGAGAGCCUUCAGGGCUGUGAUAAAGUAGAUGCAACUGAGGUGACCACCUGAUCUUUAAUCUUCUUGGUGAGUAAUUACCAAACUCAGAACAUCUGCACCAUGCAGGCACCAGUGGCUUUUUGCUGUAACAUCCCUUGGGAUGAGAGAUGAUGGCAUUGAGUUGAGGUCUAUGAGCCUUCCUGAACCAACAGUUUCCUUCAGCGUGACUCUGGGGUAAUGAAGAAACAGAAGUUUUGCAUCAGCAGGCUCCUGCAGUGUUUGUCCCAUCUGCAAGCCCAGGCUCCUCCUGUCAUGUCUGGGAUGGCUGCAUCUUUGAAGAGUGGGACCACAAUCAGCCACGAUUCUCAUGUUGGGAUGCUCACAUUCAAGGUGAAGCUGAGGCCUGCAGGAAAUGGUAAUAAUGUGAGAUUCCAGCUGGAAGAAGCUUUCUUGCAGGCUCCUCAUCAUCCCACAUUCAAUUCUUGGCCAGAUCCAGCAAAGGACAGAGGCAUCUGUGAGAAGAAUUUCAAUAGAAUUCCAGAGAAUUACAAUGGAAUUACACAACAGCACGGAAAAUUUAUUUCUUGUUGACAUGAAGAGUCUGUUUUUUGUUUUCCCACACUGCUGGAGGAUGGUAGCAGAAACAUUAAUGGAUGUGGAUCAGCAACAUCGCUCACAGACUGGGAGAGGAGGAAGAAUAUCCUGCCCUUUACCACUGAAGCUUAAUACCAACUUACAGACCAAUCCAUGGCAUUCAUAUUCCUGUCAGCAGAUGUGGAUUUUCCAGCAGCAAAUAAGCCACUAAUGGUACAAAGUCUUUCUCAACAUGGUGUAACACUUGACCAACCCAGGCCAAAAAAUGAAGUCAACUCAUGCAUGUUACUGUAUCACAUCAGGCCAAAGAGCUUUGUCCUUCUGUCACCUAGCAAGGACUGUGUAUGGGGGACUCUUGUGUGUAUGUGUUACAAACCACUGUUGGUCACAUUAACAGAAUAAGAAACCAGAAACAUAAUGGAGGUCAAGUAUGAAGUGUUGUGAGCCUCCAAAUGUAGAGGUCAGGCAUACAAUGAAAACAACAAAACAAAAUUGUAAUGCUAGUUGCAAGCUGCGUGGAUAAUCAAUACCAGAAUGUGAUUCCUUUUAAUCAGGGGUUAUUUUAGAUGGCAUCAGAGGGGGAAAAAAAAAUUAAGUCUAAAUUUGCUAAUUGGGAAGUUGAAAUCCAUGGCUGACAGCAGGCUCCCAGGAAAGAAGUAGGUUGCAUGCAGUAAGAGUAGUGUUCAGCAACAAGGUCACAGCAGUUAGAUCACCAGUGAGAUAGAAGUCCACACUAAGGUAAUUCUUGUGAAUUCUUUUAUAUGCUCGAAGCAGAACAAGGAUAUUGAAGUGUCCUAUCUGGAGGAUUCUCUCCAUGGCACAGCACUCAUAAAUGAAAGCUCUCUGAUCUCAGCCUCUGAAUUGAACCAACAGCUAUCCUAGGCCUAGUAAGAUGGAAAGGCAGCUAUUUCCCAGAACUUGAAUGAUAUCCCCCUCAAAAAGUAUUUGAGCAACUGUUCUUUUGCAUUAAACUGUCCUCAGCUGAGGUGAGGUGGGUUAUUGUCAUAGUAGUGUGUGUGUGUGUGUGUGUGUAUUUUUUUACCUAAGUUUUUUGAUGUCUCUGAGUUGCCUCUUGCCUCAGCACAUCCUUUGCAGCAGGCAGGGUGCUGGGUGAGCCAUUGGGCUGCAGUGUUCAGUCAUGCUGUUUUUCUCUACUCGCUGUGGAUGCUGUCAGUUGGCACGUGGAGGCUCUCUGUUGAUGAAUGAGUGCUGUGAAGCAGAUGGGAUGGAAACAGAGAUGUUAUUGACAUUCAGUCAGACCCCAGUGAGCAGCUUUUUGGCACCAAUGGGCUGAGACAUGCCCACUUUUUAAAAGCUGGUCUUUUUUCAUUGACAUGACCCCGUGUGACAGCUCCCUCUCCUGAGAUUUCUUCUGAUUUGAUUUAUGGAGUCUGAAUUCCAGCUGCAUGCUACUUGGGGCACAGACCGAUGUGAUGCUCCAUGUGAGGUGCCCAGACAAAACAACAGCUUUAAAAUGUCAUCCAGCAGCCCCAGAAAGACUUGUCAGAGCUGGAGGGGACAGAUUCAUUGCUUGCAGGCAAAGGGAAAUGAGGAAAUGCAGGAGUUGUGCUGUAGGAAAAUCUCCCCCUAAACUGCUUUCUCCCAUGUACGAUUGCCUAUGCUGAGCCUAUUCAAGGAGUCUUUGGGAAAUACCUAAGAGGAUUUUUCCUUUCAGAUUAAGUGAUUUCUGGAUGAUUUUACCCACAGCACAUCAGCAGGGGGUGAGUUUAGCUGCACUUUGCCUGCACCAGUGAAAGAGAGGCUCAUUCUUUUGAAAAUCAUCCACUAAAUUAAUGAAGAUGUGAAUGUACAUUAGGCUGAACGUAUUUAGCUUAUUAAAGGCUCCUCUCUCAGAUCAUUUCCUUCUGUGUGUCUUUACAUCGCAGGCUCUUCUGUUUGUAAUUUCCAAAGUUAGGGAGGAAAAAAAAAAAGAUUGUAUUUUUUAAGAGGUUAUUCUCAGCUUUCAGCAGUCAGAAACUGUAUGUACAGUAGUCAGCCUGAAAUCCCAUAGGAAGAUGGAAGACCUCGCUGUGCUCAGUUAAUGCAGUAAUGAUGACUGUUGCUCUCUGCUCAAACAUAACUUGAGGUGAGUGCCACGAUUAACAAGGAGUAAGAACCUAAAUGAAAUGUCAAUUUCUGUUUUGUUGUGUUGAAUGAAUUACCAGGACCUUCAUGAUCUGAAACUUUGGCUAGGAUCAUUCUGCUCUCCUGGGGAAAAUAAAAUGUUUGGUCAGUGCCAGUUCCUUUGACUCCCAUUGUUUUCACUGGCUUUGGGAACAGAUCCUUAUUUUUGCUUUAAUUCUCUUUUUCACCCUUAUAGCUAAUGAAUAGAGUGAUGCAAGAAAUCUGCAAGGCAGUAUUGAAGGGAUGCUGCACUGAAGGAAAACAAGGAAGCUACUAAGAUUACAAGAAACUCAUUUUUUGAGGAUGGAAUGGGAAAAUAUUCUAUGAGAAUGUUGUCUUUGUGAAAGCUAAUUUGAGUGAGCUGGGUAUGGGAAGCUGAGGGUGGGGAGGUAGCGUGGGCCAUGAGUGCUCUUUUUCUUCACCUAUCUAUAGAUACUCACCUUUUCUGCUGCUACAGGGCUGAGAUUCCCAAGUACUUUCAUCAAGAUUUUGUACUGCUCAAACCUAUUGCUCUGGUCAGAAAGACAACGGCUUCUCCACUGCAGAGCCCAGAACUCCACUUAAGAUAUCAUGAUAUAUCGUUUAUGAAUCUGUAGAUAGCCCAGGAAUUAGGCCCCUUCCAACUGUUCCCAUUGAUGUGGUGAGAAAGUAUGACGUUCUUUUGCAUUCCUUAAGCACCUGCUGUACAUUUGUUGAGUAGAAUUAAAAAAGAACUCUCCAGGUCUAUAAAUGAUGGUGGGUGUCAAACAGCCUUGCUAGCACCCUGACUACCUGCAGUGUGGAGAAGUGGGAGCCUUCCUAAUUCUGCUCCCAGCUCCUUGCCUGCAGCAGCCCAUAUGGAACAGGAGAGCCAGGAGCUGGGCGCCUACUGCAGCUGCAGAGAAAGGCCUUUGCCUGCUCUGGAUGUCAUCUACAGUAUUUUGUAUUAAGGGAUCUUGCUUUGAUAACUUUUUACUUGUUUUUCCAUUUUUUUUCUCCUUUUUUUUUCUCCCCAGCUACACUUCUGUCAAAUCCCAGUUUCCAUAUGAAGGUUUGCACCAAGUUGAGUGAAAGCACUAAGAUAAUCUAUUUGUAACAAAAUACUUUUCCUUUGCUUAAUAAACUUAGUUCUUCCCUGUAAAAACAAGCUCUUUAAUUACUCAGGUGUGGCUACUCACCGUAUUAAAUCACCACACUACCUCCUUAGCGUAGUAAUACAGUUCUUUACAAUUUCAUUUUAGAAUCACUCUUCUGUUGCUGACAUUUAAUUUUGCACAGGAGUAACACUAUCGUAAAAGAGCCCAGGUGCAAAAAUAUUAUGUUUUUAGCAUUGAUGUACUGUGCAUUACUAUUAAAAACUAGAAAAACUAUCAGUGCUGCUCCAUAUCAACUGGGAUUACUUAGCUUAAAUGUUUAAGAGGAACCAUUUAAGAGCUCUGUUGCAGUACAGGUGUCUGUGCACCUCUUCUACACCUGGCCAUUUGAUGAUACACUUUCAUAUGUGAGAUUUCAAACUUUCUCACAGGUAAAUAUAUUUUUUUAAUGUUUCUGCUCAAAGUUGCAAACAAAGUUUUUUCAGUAGGGAAGAGGAAGAAUGAGUUGCAUGUUGAGUGAAUGCUAUUUUGUCAGGUUUGUAUCCAUAGUUUUUGGAUGAUGUUUUGGCUUCCUUAGGCUCUUCUAACAGUAGCAAUUACAACUGCAGUGGCUUGCAGUUCUUCUGUCUUUGUUUCUUGUGGUAGUGACUCUUUAUAAUAGAACUAGAAAGACCUUGAGUUUAACUGAAACCUGCAGCAAGACGUGCUAGAAUUAAUCUCUCCAACCUUUGACAGUACAGUUUAAUAAUCAAGUAACCAGUAGCUAAGUGGUUAGGCAUAUACUUUCACACAUGGAAAAACCAUAACCUCCAGAGAAUGGUUCGUGUCAUUCUGAUGUAGAUUUUUUUUAUAGAGUAGAGAACACCUUCAAUAAGGCUGCAAUGGGAGCACUGCGCUGCCAUACAACCAGAGCUCCAUUCUUCAGGCAGAAAUGUUGGAGAUAAGGAGGAAAAGCUGCAGUUUUCUGUCCUUUGCCAUUUGUCCAGAACUCUGUUGCUUCCAGGUUUCUCUUUCAUCUCCUUUCUGUUGGCCUUUUAGCACAUCUGGAUCUCUGAGAUUUCUCUUCAUGUAAAUAUUGCCCUUAUUUUUUCUCCUCGAUUUCUCUCAGAAAGUUUCUGCAUGUUCUUAUCUGCAGCUCCAAUCUCUGUUUGCUGCUCUUACUCUUGAGCUGCAAGUGGUUUGCAUGGUGGUUUCUCCUGUUGUGUUUUUAUCGGGCAUCCUCCAGUAACAAUCCUGCAUUCACCCUGUUUUGCCCAAGGUUCUGUUUACCUUCUCUAUCUGCUCUGGUCCUCAUGUUUUAAGGCUGUUGGAUUUCUCAUAAUUGCAAGGUUUGGGCCUCUUUCAAAUGAUUGGUUUUUUAUCUAACCGAGUGUACAUUUCUCUUUCCUCCUUUCAUUGGACUGUUCAUUUUUAAAACUCUUUUAAUCAAAUGAAAGGAAUUAAAAAUGAGGAGGGAAAACCCAAGAAUUUAAAUUCCAGUCUUUUUUUCUACCACAAAGAACCAAGAAUUCUUUCUAUUUAAGACAGUCACAGAUUUUUAUCAUUGUGACUGGUUUCCAUUAACUUUGUAAGUAGAAAGACAUUUAGCAAAGUUGAAAGCUGUCUCUUAUGUGAUGACAGACUUUGCCUGUUUUAGUAUUUUUACUGGUUAACUACCAAAUCCUGAGUCUACUGCUGUCUACAGCCAACACUUAGUGUUCACUAAAAGAAACAUGACUUAGAAAUAUAUCUUCCACACUAAGCUUUUGAAAACACACAGUAUUUUGAGUUAUAGAAACAACAGUUUUAAUAUGUGAAAAGAUCUGUUACCACAAGGCCUCCUUGAGAGAAAGAAACAGCAGAAAAGGGUGCAAAGGGUCAGGAAGAAAGCAUGAUAUGUAGUCAGCUGCCUCAUCUAUAUACAAGACAACCUAAUUAGUACUCAUGCAUGCAACUAAAGCAUCAUGAACUGGUUAUAUGGAUCAACAAACUGGUUAAACUAACAAUGGCACUAUGUUGGGAUGCAGUAACACCAAGUGGGAUUUUGUUUCUGGAAGUCAGGGCUCAGUUGAUGCCUGUUGAAACCCUAUAGGGUUUGCCAUCACUGCAGCACCAUAGCCUAUUUAGCAUUCAACAAAAGUCUCAGCUGGACUUUCCCAUUUCAAGUCACACAAGUCAGGUUUGGGUAGAUGACUGAGGGGAGAGAAAAGCUCCUCCAGUGUUCCAAUUCUUAUCUGUCUGGAUUUUUCUUUUUGCAGUUUCUUGGGAGGGGUUUUCUAAUACAAAAGUUCUCUGAUGUCCUUCUACGCUGCUGCUUCCUUUUUUACCUGACCUUGUAGGAUUAUCGAAUGUCCUGAGCUGGAAGGGACCCACAGUGAUCUUUGGGUCCAACUCCUGGCUCCACCCAGGACUGACCAAACAUCAGACCAUAUGACAGAGCUUCUUGAUGCUUCUUGAACUCCAGCAGCUUGAUGGCAUGGCUGCUGCCCCAGAGAGCCUGUUCCCAGAAAGGCUCCAAUAUUAAAGUUGAAAACACUUAUAGUGGGGCCCAUAGAUCAAACUCUAUUAAAUUCCAAAGGAACCUCAUUCACUGGAGUAGCUGUCUUAGAAGGCAACACAGGGUCUUACCUUGAGUUGUACCUCAUAUUCACUCUUGAGACUUUCCAAAGUCACCUGGAAGGCCAAGGACCUGCUGGUAGGCACCAAGCACAUCCUCAGGCUGCUGCUCACCAUCUUGGGCUGCCCUUGAGGCUCUGGGCUGAGGACUCUAAGAGGGGUUGGUCAAACCUAAUGUUAUUCAACCUCUCCUGCUCUAUAAGACCGCAACUUUGGCUUUCAGUCUUCUCUCUUGCUUCUACUCAGAUACAACUGUUACUAAUUGCACUCUUAGUUUAUUGUUGGAGAAAGCUUUCCCUAUUUAAUCGUUAGAAACAGGGAAUCUGUAAUGUAUUCAAAACUGCGAAAACUUAAUCCUGGUUAAUUUUUUACUCUCUGAGAAAAGUCAUUAUGACUGAUCUAUUCUUUCAAUCAAGUACACCCAUUUCGUUUAUUUUUAACAUUCCUUUCAUUAUGUUAUGAGCUUCUUAAGGAUAAUGGAAUAAUUGCUUGUCUCUUUGAUUGAUCUUUGUUUUGAAUGGAAACUUUAAUAGUGUUAUUUCUAGAGCAGGCUUACGGUAUAAUACAAUUAAAGGAAUACAUGACACUAAAACACUUUAAAGCACAUGUUCCAAUAAUUAGACCUACAAUCCUCGUCAGCCAGAGGACCAGGCAGGGAGGAGUUCAUGUUACAAUUUAUGAGGAAAGGAUUCGUGUUAUUUUGCUUAAUAAAGCAAAAAAAAUUAGUAAUGACAUUUAUUAAUAGCUGUAGCGAUCUGUGAACAAACUCCUUCUCCAGGCUGCUCUGGAAAGGCAUUCUCAUGCUACAGAGAAUCCCAAAUUCUGGUAUUUUACUUUUUAACACUAAAACAUGCCAGAAGUAUGGUAACUUGGGUUCUAAGUUCAUCCUGCGUGAAAGAUUUUGAGGUUCCUCACAUCUGAAAAUAUACAGUCCUCCUGGAUCUCCUUCUGCUGAAGACCUCUUCCAGCUGUUCCCUGACCUCUCAGCACCCCUGGUUCCCUGUCAUCAGGACCAGCACCUGGCCAAGAGCAUGGCUUCCUCUGCACUGCCUGAGUGCAAAGUGGAAGCUGACAAACUGCACAGAUUUGCAGGAAAAUUCCGGAGUGCUCCGAAAGUGAUGCCUCCUAUUUUAUUAUGUUGGCCCAUGAUAUCAGAGGCAGAUGACGGCAGUACAGCAGAGAAGGCUGAACCUCCCCAUCAAUAUUAAUUACAUUUUGUUGCUGUGUGAUGGCAGCAGAGGGCAGUCUGUCACAAUGACAUCUGACAUGUAGAAUCAUCCCACGGCAGGAGCCAUGUCCCCGUGCUGGACUCCCUCAUUUUGUAGAUGAUUUUGGUUUUAAAUUUUGUUUUUUUGGGAGAUUUUUUUAACCUGAAUUCCCAAUGACAAGACUGAGAUCCCAGGUAAUCACAUUAUUCAGUUUGUCUUGGUUUGUUUCAUUUUGGUUUUGCCCAGUUGCAAUUGUACUCGAUUUAAAUACUUGGGCUUUGGUAGAGAAGGAUAAAAGGGUGGAAUUUUUUUACUUCUUUGAAUUCUAAGCUCAAUCAUUUUUUCCUUAUUCAAGAUCAGGGCAUUAGGAAAUACUACUUCUCUGAAAGGGUGGUCAGGCACUGGAAUGGGCUGCCCAGAGAGGUGGUGGAGUCACCGACCCUGGUGGUGUUCAAAGAGCGUUUGGAUAUUGCGUUGAGGGACAUGGUUUAGUGGGAACCAUUGGUGAAGGGCGAAUGGUUGGACUGGAUGAUCCUGUGGGUCUUUUCCAACCUUAGCGAUUCUAUGAUUCUAUGAUCAGUGAGAUCACUUAGAGGCUCAUCAGCUUCAUUGGACUUCGCUGGGAACACAGCCUGUCUUCUGACAUGGAGGAAGGGAGAAGCAAGCUGUGGUGCUUGGGAUGCUCUGUGAGGAAGGAAAGGCAUUGUGGUGGCUCUUUCCAGGUGCUGAGUUUGUUUCCCAAGGAACCGAGCUGGAUCACCCAAUAGCUGCUACAUGGCAAAAUUAUUCAUUUUUAAUUCUAUGUGAUACCAGCAUUGUUAUAUUGUGUAUAGCCCAAUCCCCAGAUGGAAUGCAAUCAUGUUGUAGCUCAUUUUUAUAUCAGAUGAGGAUUCACUAGAGAUAAGACUCUUUAGCAUCCACCCACACGUGGUACUAACAGCGAGGAACCUGUUUCACAAUGUCUUACAGCAUGGUGCAGUAACUUGAGAAGAACAGUGAACUUAAGUGAACCUUGAGAACCUAGGUGAACAGGGGAGAUCUAGUUAAUACUCUGUACUUUUCCAAGCUGGAAUUAUGGCUUUUAACAUCUCUGUUCUUGAGAGGCUGGGCAGCUGGCUGAAGCUGGCCAGCAUUACUUUUGAAGUAUGGAUCUUCUAUUCCUAUCAGACAAGUCAAGGCUACAGGCACAUCUAACAAGCAACUCAAGCCUGGAACUAUCUGGAUUUCUAAGUUCAUGAUGGAAAAGGGUAUUGUCCUUGUUUUUCAGGAUGCUUAUAAGCCUACGUUAGUAAACACAGAUGAUGGCAAUUAAGGCUUUGGGAGAAUCUUGGCACGUUGGAACUGACUGCUUUUCUGAUUGAGAACUGAGAUAGUGGGAGAACCCUUUAUCCCCUGGUUGAGCAAGAACAUCUUGAAUCUGUUUAUGUGUGUAUGAAAAAAAAUUAAUUAAACCUCUACGGGCCGGAUUCCUCAAGGAUGAUAAAUGCUCAGCUGGCUUUAGGAUCCUGCACAAAAGUAUGAGUUAACCUGGUGAGCUUUUGGAUUUCAGAUGAAACUGAGGGGCAAGGCUAUGCGGCACACACAGUGAAACGUCACCACUAGGAGGUCACAUUCUUUCCAUGUGCAGAGCUGGCGAAAGCACCCAGUUGGGUGCUUUUUGCUUUGUGUUAUUAAUAAAUUCAACAAAUGUUA